rnacentral:rRNA from 1 species
UACGUAGGGUGCAAGCGUUAAUCGGAAUUACUGGGCGUAAAGCGUGCGCAGGCGGUUAUGUAAGACAGUUGUGAAAUCCCCGGGCUCAACCUGGGAACUGCAUCUGUGACUGCAUAGCUAGAGUACGGUAGAGGGGGAUGGAAUUCCGCGUGUAGCAGUGAAAUGCGUAGAUAUGCGGAGGAACACCGAUGGCGAAGGCAAUCCCCUGGACCUGUACUGACGCUGAGGUGCGAAAGCGUGGGGAGCAAACAGG